AACGCACGAGACCUGCGGACCUGCGGAAGGAUCAUUACAUGGCGGAGAAGGUGGGCAACCUGGCCAACAUCCAGGUUGUGAUGCCUUCACGCUCUUCCACCCUUGUCUAUUUGCACCUUCUGUCGUUCCCUCGGCGGGUUUCGACCCGCCGGCGGCAACAUUGAAAAACCCUUUUUGCAGUUAGCAUUCAAUUCUUCUGAUCAAAUAUUAAGUCAUUACAACUUUCAACAACGGAUCUCU
rnacentral:misc_RNA from 1 species